rnacentral:rRNA from 1 species
GACGUAGGGCGCGAGCGUUGUCCGGAUUUAUUGGGCGUAAAGAGCUCGUAGGCGGUCUGUCGCGUCUGCUGUGAAAACUCAGGGCUUAACCCUGAGCUUGCAGUGGGUACGGGCAGACUAGAGUGCGGUAGGGGAGACUGGAAUUCCUGGUGUAGCGGUGAAAUGCGCAGAUAUCAGGAGGAACACCGGUGGCGAAGGCGGGUCUCUGGGCCGAUACUGACGCUGGAGGAGCGAAAGCGUGGGGAGCGAACAGG